rnacentral:tRNA from 1 species
CUGAGUGUGGCGCAGUCUGGUAGCGCAUCUGCUUUGGGUGCAGAGGGUCGCAGGUUCGAAUCCUGCCACUCAGACCA